rnacentral:lncRNA from 1 species
CUCAGAGUUAGCAAGCUAGCUGAGCAUAAUAUUCAUCUCUACCAAAACAGAGAAGUACAAAAUUGGUGAUAUAAUCAUAAGCCUGCAGCAAAUAAGCGAUUUAAAAGGAGAAAUUCCUCCUGUUUUCGGUCAACUGGGCAUUACUAUAAGUGCAACUUAUUCUACCAACAGAACAAAGAGAGUUUUGGAAACAGAAGAGCAGAAUUGUAAUAGUUUUUCCACAGUAAUCUUCUAAAAUUGCUUUUUUCUUUUUCCCUAAGAUCAG